CUACUUCCCAACCUGACUGCAAUUUGGGGGGUGUUUAUCUGUCACCCAGGCUAGAGUGCAGUGGCAGGAUUACUGCUCACUGCAACCUCGACCUCCUGGGCUCAAGUGAUCCUCCCAGCUCAGCCUUCAAGAGUAGCUGGGACUGCAGACCUGCACCACCACGUCCAGUUGCCCGGCCCAAAAUGAUGGCCCCUCUUAACCCAAGGCAGGGGAUCUUCCUCCCAACUCCCUGGACCAAGGUGGCAUUUCCUGCACACCCCUCCAGGCCAAGAUGAUGCUCGCUCUUAACUCUGUAGGCCAAGGUGGCAUCUCCUCUUGACUCUCCAGACCUAAAGUGACACCCUUCAGGCACUUCGGGCCCAAUUCAGCCCAGUCCUGGUGCUUUUGGUGCCAGAUGACAGCACUUUGUAGAUAAGAACGAUAUGAUGUGUGGAUUUCACUACAUUUGGCUCCUGGAUGCUAUAAAAGGACUU
rnacentral:sRNA from 1 species